UGAUGCCCUUUAUUAGGAUGUUUGUACAGAGUCCCAAAGUUGGGUAUAUGCACUUCCAGGCCUAGUUGGACAGAUGGGAAGAUUCCAUGGAGGAAAGACAGACCCUUACCCUGUCACGCUCUCCUUUUCACAUUUCAGUUGAGUGAAGUAGAAAAGAUUCUCCGCUUCCAGGGAAGCCAUUCCAAGGCUCUGGACACAGAAGACAUUUGAUAAAAUGAGAUGGAAAGUGCUACUGUGGAAAAAAGGAUGCAUGGGGCCAACACUGGGAAGAAGCAAGCUGCUUUGUAGAGGGCUAAUUGUGUGGGUGACUCAGCAGCACACCCUAUCUUUGCAUGAGCCGGUCAUGAGAGCCCGACUCUUCUAUAUUGUGCUAUUACAACAAAGAACACAUGUCACAGGGGAAAAACGGUAUCAAAGUCAGUGCACUUGCUCUUCUGUUUUUAAAUACAGGCACAGCCGACUGGGCGCCCUUGAGAAGAGACUAGCGUGGUGGCAGAGUUUCUCAGCCAAGACACUUGACCUUCCCAGUCUCUUGGAAAUGGCAGGGAAGAUUCUGAUUGUGAUUUCUGAUCCACAGCAACAAUGGAAUUCACACCUUGUGGCUUGUCAUGGCUAAUGAACUUGCUAAGUGGCAUUUUGGGUUUUAUGCAGAGGAGUGUGGUUUCAGCCAUCCAGUUCUCUAGUUACUUGAAAUACGUCUUGCACCAGUCUGCAAACUCAUGUAGCCUGCCCUGCUGCUGUGACAUCCUGUCUCCACCUGUUCUUGUUAUCCCCACUCACUGCGAUCCCCAAAUGCGUUCACGAAUAGAUGUGUAAAGGCUCUGGCUGGCGGUUCUACUGUGGUGUGCCUUUAAUUUUCCAAUUAAAAAGUAUGUGGGGACCCAA